UUAGCAUUUUUACUCCGGUAAGUUGGUCAGCAGAACAUUUCUGUACCAUGGAAAUUAUUCCGGUACUCUAUUGUUAGGAAUUAAACAUUUAUGAGAAAUUUUGUACGAGCAUAUUAGCAAGAAUGAGCUGGUAAAAAGUACAAUAAGGGCAGAGCAGUGACAAUAUGUAGAUCUGAGAGAGAAAAUCAAAUUGGAUUCUUUUCAUCUCAGAAUGAAAGUGGACACCGGGAAACCAGCAGGAACGUGACUGAAAGGAAUUCUCUGUUUACUGGGAGAGACUACAAAGGAACAGACUCCCAGAGACCUGUGUGAGACCAAGUGCCCAGGAGGAGCAGGACUGAGCUGUUUCCUUCCCAAAGUCAUUCCACACACCUGCUCCCAAAGGCAGCUCUCUGACCAGCUUGGUGCAUCAGCCCUCAGCUACGGAAUCUAAGAUCAGUCACAGUCUUCUGUGGUGCUUUGGAUAAAAGAUUGCUUUCAGCUGCAUUUUAC
rnacentral:lncRNA from 1 species